AGCAGAUGCAUUGGCAGCAGUCAGAAAAGGCGUCGCUCUAUUUGCUGCGGAUUUUGGGAGCGACACGGGGACCUUUGUUUACUGCGUGGGGAAGAAAAGCCACUCCUAAGUCCAUAGGCGGAGUUCCAAUGCUUGGCGGUGCAGUAAUGGGGGGAAACUUCACCGGUUGGACUUCUGCCUGUCUGGCAGGUGUUGGCAGCUUUUCCAGGGACUAUGCAGAGCCACUCGGGGCAGCAGGGCAGGGAAAGCCCCGGUGCAGAGGUCUGCGAGGCACCAAAUCUUGACAUUCUGCUUCCCCAACUUAACUGCCUAGUGUUUAAUAAUAACAAUAAUAAUAAUAAUAAUACGUUUUUAUUUAUACCCCGCCCAUGUGACUGGGUUUCCCCAGCCACUCUGGGCGGCUUCCAGCAAAAUAUUAAAAUACAAUAAUUCAUCAAAUAUUAAAAGCUUCUCUAAACAGGGCUGCCUUCAGAUGUCCUCUAAAACUCAGGUAGUUGUUUAUUUCUUUGACAUCUGGUGGAAGGGCAUUCCACAGGGUGGGCGCCACUACCGAGAAGGCCCUCUGCCUGGUUCCAAUGACAGAAUAGCUGUGCUAUCCGUGACUGUUUCUUCCUAAUGGUACCCUGUCUCACUGGCAGGUGUGACUAUAAUCAUCUCAACAAAUCAUCUCAAGGUUAUAGGUGUGGGAUUUUUUUAAUCAUGCAUGUAAACUGAUUAUCACUGACUAUAUUUUCAACUCCCACCUUACCAUUUUCUCUCUUACAGCGUCUACCAAUUUAAGAUUUCCCUUCAGGCAUAGGAUGAAGUGGCCUUGAACCCAUGAAAGCCUAUCUAUGAAUCUUGCUAGUCUUUCAGGCGACACAAGAUGUCACCUCCCCUGGGAUGACAGAUGGACUGUGAAACCACUCUGCGAAUUAUAGCUCUGCGAGGGCAACAAGGGGUCUCCUACCAACCUACAACCCUCUUAAACCCUUUGGGGGAAAGCCAGGACUGUUUAGAGCAGUUUGCUGCUUUAAAUGCAAUAGUCUGGAGAAGGCCUGCAUUACUGAUUGAGUCUCUGCAGAGGGAGUGACUGAAUGACCCAACUCAGUAGAAUUAGCCACUCCCAACAAAUGCCGACAAACGUCAUCCUCCUCGGAUGGAAGCUUUGAGCUCACAGGAAGCCUAGAAUUUAUUUACUUACCACAGUCAAGAAAAUCUACCGUUCUUGCUCCACUGAAGCUUUGGAACAGCUUUUGUUGUUGUUGUUGCUUAAUUCCCUAAAGCAGUAGUUUUCAACCAGUGUGCCGUGGCACCCUGGGGUGCCUUGAAUGAUGAUUGGGGUGCCAUAAGCAACACUGGCCUCUAUCCCUCUUUCCUCCCUCCUGAUGCCCUCUCAUGUCUCUGCCUACCAAAGGCUUGUGCGGCUGUUUGAUGCAGCAGCCCUGGCUACAAGCUCCCCAGGUCAAUGGUACCUCUGGGGUUGGCCAGGGGUUGCCUCACUGUGGGGCAGUGUGAGGAGGCACCUCUCCUUGGGGCAAGGGGGGCAGCUCAGAGACCAGGGGCGGCAGCUGCGGCUGCCCAGAGGACUCCCAAGGAGAGGGGAGGAGAGAGGAGGCUGAGUGAACACACUCCACAAGGAAGGGUGUUUGAAAAGGGGUGAGAGGCUGCCCACUCUGCAGGCAAGGGGUGACAUAACUCAGCUCCUGAGCCCCACAGGGGUGCCCCAGAAAGAAUGCAGUGGGUCGAUUGUUUUUGUAUGCCACAACUGCAGCUAGAAUUUUGUUAGCUAAGAAUUGGAAAACACAAGAAGUCCCAACAGUGGAGGAAUGGCAGAUGAAAAUGAUGGACCUUUCGGAGCUAGCCAACCUGACUGGAAGAGUCCACGACCAGGAGGAGGAGGAGUACCAGAAGGAAUGGAUGAAAUUUAAAAGACUAUUUAGUUAAAUAUGUUAAGAUAAUUUAAUUGGAAAAAUUUGCAAAUAUCGGAUAAGUUUAGGAUUUAAAUAUGUG